rnacentral:rRNA from 1 species
AGUGAACGCUGGCGGCAGGCCUAAUACAUGCCAGUCGAACGGCAGCACAGCAGAGCUUGCUCUGUGGGUGGCGAGUGGCGGACGGGUGUGGAAUACAUGGGAAUCUGCCCAGUCGUGGGGGAUAACGUAUGGAAACGUACGCUAAUACCGCAUGCGCCCUUUGGGGGAAAGCCGGGGACCUUCGGGCCUGGCGCGAUUGGAUGAGCCCAUGUCCGAUUAGCUAGUUGGCGGGGUAAAGGCCCACCAAGGCGACGAUCGAUAGCUGGUCUGAGAGGAUGAUCGGCCACACUGGGACUGAGACACGGCCCAGACUCCUACGGGAGGCAGCAGUAGGGAAUAUUGCACAAUGGGCGCAAGCCUGAUCCAGCCAUGCCGCGUGAGUGAAGAAGGCCCUCGGGUUGUAAAACUCUGUUGUCCGGGAAGAAAAGCAUUCGGUGAAUCCCCGGGUGUUCUGACGGUACCGAAAGAAUAAGCACCGGCUAACUUCGUG